UGCCUGUGUUUUGUGAGCUCUGUCCACAGA
rnacentral:piRNA from 2 species